CCUACGGGUGGCAGCAGUGAGGAAUAUUGGUCAAUGGGCGCGAGCCUGAACCAGCCAAGCAGCGUGAAGGAUGACUGCCCUAUGGGUUGUAAGCUUCUUUUAUAAAGGAAUAAAGUGAGGCACGUGUGCCUUUUUGUAUGUACUUUAUGAAUAAGGAUCGGCUAACUCCGUGCCAGCAGCCGCGGUAAUACGGAGGAUCCGAGCGUUAUCCGGCUUCAGUGGGGUUAAAGGGAGCGUAGAUGGGUUUUUAAGUCAGUUGUGAAAGUUUGGGGCUCAACCGUAAAAUUGCAAUUGAUACUGGCAGACUUGAGUACAGUUGAGGCAGGCGGAAUUCGUGGUGUAGCGGUGAAAUGCUUAGAUAUCACGAAGAACUCCGAUUGCGAAGGCAGCUUACUGAACUGCCACUGACAUUGAUGCUCGAAAGUGUGGGUAUCAAACAGGAUUAGAUACCCCUGUAGUC
rnacentral:rRNA from 1 species